rnacentral:rRNA from 1 species
CCUACGGGAGGCAGCAGUGAGGAAUAUUGGUCAAUGGACGAGAGUCUGAACCAGCCAAGUAGCGUGAAGGAUGACUGCCCUAUGGGUUGUAAACUUCUUUUAUAUGGGAAUAAAACGUUCCACGUGUGGGAUUUUGUAUGUACCAUAUGAAUAAGGAUCGGCUAACUCCGUGCCAGCAGCCGCGGUAAUACGGAGGAUCCGAGCGUUAUCCGGAUUUAUUGGGGUUAAAGGGAGCGUAGGUGGAUUGUUAAGUCAGUUGUGAAAGUUUGCGGCUCAACCGUAAAAUUGCAGUUGAAACUGGCAGUCGUGAGUACAGUAGAGGUGGGCGGAAUUCGUGGUGUAGCGGUGAAAUGCUUAGAUAUCACGAAGAACUCCGAUUGCGAAGGCAGCUCACUGGACUGCAACUGACACUGAGGCUCGAAAGUGUGGGUAUCAAACAGGAUUAGAUACCCUAGUAGUC